rnacentral:rRNA from 1 species
AUGGCUGUCGUCAGCUCGUGUCGUGAGAUGUUCGGUUAAGUCCGGCAACGAGCGCAACCCACAUCCCCAGUUGCCAGCAGGUCAAGCUGGGCACUCUGUGGAAACUGUCCGUGAUAAGCGGGAGGAAGGUGUGGAUGACGUCAAGUCCUUAUGGCCCUUACGGGUUGGGCUACACACGUGCUACAAUGGUGGUGACAAUGGGUUAAUCCCCAAAAGCCAUCUCAGUUCGGAUUGGGGUCUGCAACUCGACCCCAUGAAGUCGGAAUCGCUAGUAAUCGCGUAACAGCAUGACGCGGUGAAUACGUUCCCGGGCCUUGUACACACCGCCCGU